rnacentral:rRNA from 1 species
GACGAACGCUGGCGGCGUGCCUAAUACAUGCAAGUAGAACGCACAGUUUAUACCGUAGCUUGCUACACCAUAAACUGUGAGUUGCGAACGGGUGAGUAACGCGUAGGUAACCUGCCUGGUAGCGGGGGAUAACUAUUGGAAACGAUAGCUAAUACCGCAUAAUAUUAAUUAUUGCAUGAUAAUUGAUUGAAAGAUGCAAUUGCAUCACUACCAGAUGGACCUGCGUUGUAUUAGCUAGUAGGUGAGGUAACGGCUCACCUAGGCGACGAUACAUAGCCGACCUGAGAGGGUGAUCGGCCACACUGGGACUGAGACACGGCCCAGACUCCUACGGGAGGCAGCAGUAGGGAAUCUUCGGCAAUAGACGAAAGUCUGACCGAGCAACGCCGCGUGAGUGAAGAAGGUUGUCGGAUCGUAAAGCUCUGUUGUAAGAGAAGAACGGGUGUGAGAGUGGAAAGUUCACACUGUGACGGUAUCUUACCAGAAAGGGACGGCUAACUACGUG